AGUCAUAACACAUGCAAGUCGAGCGGCAGCGACAUCAACAAUCCUUCGGGUGCGUUGAUGGGCGGCGAGCGGCGGACGGGUGAGUAAUGCCUGGGAAUAUGCCCUGAUGUGGGGGAUAACCAUUGGAAACGAUGGCUAAUACCGCAUAAUCUCUUCGGAGCAAAGAGGGGGACCUUCGGGCCUCUCGCGUCAGGAUUAGCCCAGGUGAGAUUAGCUUGUUGGUGAGGUAAGAGCUCACCAAGGCGACGAUCUCUAGCUGGUCUGAGAGGAUGAUCAGCCACACUGGAACUGAGACACGGUCCAGACUCCUACGGGAGGCAGCAGUGGGGAAUAUUGCACAAUGGGGGAAACCCUGAUGCAGCCAUGCCGCGUGUGUGAAGAAGGCCUUCGGGUUGUAAAGCACUUUCAGUUGUGAGGAAGGCGUAUGCGUUAAUAGCGCAUGUGUUUGACGUUAGCAACAGAAGAAGCACCGGCUAACUCCGUGCCAGCAGCCGCGGUAAUACGGAGGGUGCGAGCGUUAAUCGGAAUUACUGGGCGUAAAGCGCAUGCAGGCGGCUUGUUAAGCCAGAUGUGAAAGCCCGGGGCUCAACCUCGGAAUAGCAUUUGGAACUGGCAGGCUAGAGUCUUGUAGAGGGGGGUAGAAUUUCAGGUGUAGCGGUGAAAUGCGUAGAGAUCUGAAGGAAUACCGGUGGCGAAGGCGGCCCCCUGGACAAAGACUGACGCUCAGAUGCGUAAGCGUG
rnacentral:rRNA from 1 species